AUCGCUCUUAGUAGGAUAACAUUGGGAGUCGUGCCUGCCCGGUGGGCUUUAAUGCCUAAACGGUUGCUGUUGAUAGCAGUACUAAGGUAGCACAAUAAAUUGUCCUUUAAUUGGGGAAUAGAAUGAAUGGCUUGACGUGGGAAAAACUGUCUUGGGUUUAGUUGUUGAAAUUUACUUUUGUGUGAAAAGGCGCAUAUUUGUUUAUUAGACGAGAAGACCCCAUCGAGCUUGAUAAGAAUUUGAACGCGGUUCUUAAUUUGAAGUUUAAUUGGGGUGAUUGAAUGCAGAAGUAACGCAUUUUUUUUAUUAGUAAUGAAGAUCCCCUUUUAGGGAGAAGGAGAAAAAGCUACCGUGGGGAUAACAGCGUAAUCCUUUUGGAGAGAUCUUAUUGAAGAAGGGUGUUGCGACCUCGAUGUUGAAUUAAGGUGUUACUUUGGCGCAGCCGUUGAAGUUGUGGGACUGUUCGUCCUUUAAAACCUU
rnacentral:rRNA from 1 species